ACCUGCCUGGGCGGUUUGGCUGCCGCUUAAAUCCAACCCGAUUCCCCAACUCGUCGGGUCGUCACUUUCCAUUGUUCGUCAUUUUGCAAGAUCUUCCAGUUCCAGGCUUUCAGCGGCUGUUUGGAGACGGGGACAAACCCUAAUUAAACUUUGCUGUCUGAUAUCCAGGAGAAGGAUGCCAAGAUCUCCCUUAAAUUUACCCUGGAUAUUCCUGCAAAUACUUAUUCUUCAAUUCUCGAUGAGAAUUCAAGCCAUUCGGAAGGAUAUUGGCUUCCAAGAGAAUCGAAUUUGCAGAAAUACAGUCCAGGGAAGAUACUUGCUAUCAGAUGAUAAUGGCGAGUGAUUAAUUUUCUGUCUUUUUUUGUUCGGGGAACGAUGAUAAUGUGUGUUUUUUACAUAAUUUUAUUUUUAACUAAAAAUUGAAGAAUUUUGGAAAUAUCUUGUGGAAAUUAAGAUCAGUGGUUGUUGUUGCAGUCAUUUUCUUACGCACCAUUUGUCACAUAGCUUUGAUAUCACAUCUAACCAACAAUUUGAAUCAUUGGUAUAAUUGUUGACGUUUUUGAACUAAGCCAUGAUGUACUUCGACAUCCUUAUAUACAAAUUUGCUGAUAUAUCAGUAAUCCUGUUUGUUUAUGUAAAGGAGAUAACCCUGAUACGGGUUUCCAUUUUGUGAUAUUGGAGUUGUUUAUCUUGUGCCUGUCACAUUUAUAAGAAUUUUUGCCUGUCCAAGUUUGAUGAUAUUUCGUUAUGCUUUGAGUACUAAAGCUUGGUGUCAUUUGCAUUAUCAAAUUUUGUUAUGUUACAUUAACAUAUGCUGCCAUUGCUGGGUUAUUGACAUGACUUUAUAACUAUAUCUAAAUUUCUUAUGUAGUUUACUUUAGUUUGUAAGUUGUUUUUGUUUUGUGUCAGAAAAAGAACAUGCAGUCUUCCAUCAAUUCCUUUGAUUCCCUUGCCUUCACAGUUGAUAUGUACGUUGCAGGAUAUGUUUGUGAUGCUCUGUCGGUGGAUCCACAAUCCCGCUGCUGUCCCAAAAGAGGAGAGAUAUUUUCUUGUCAGUGAGUUUUCCUAAGAAGUUCUCUUUAGGUUUUUUGAUAGUAAAAUAAGUAUUAUUAAGAGAAAGAAAGAGAAAUACAAUCAUGGAGAUAAGACAUCCUCCAAAUGGUAACCUUUUUUAUUUUUUUUGUUUUUUUUUUUUAAUUUUAUGCGAGACACCCUCUGCAAGCGUGAUCAGGCGCCUGCGGAUGCUUGCAGCAACUCAUCAUCACCUGAUUGCACCCUUGUGCCACGUGUGCUGGAGGGUAUGGGGAGGGUCAUAUGACUGCACCCUCCCAACUGUAAGAUUAGAAUAGACAAUAAAGAUAAAAA